rnacentral:sRNA from 2 species
CCCUAGCCCUGAUUGCAGUGGAAAUCCUUUUUUGAAAAAAAAGAUUGCAACGGAAAGCAGGAAAAAGC